UCCCUGAUGGCUCAUAUGGUAAAGAAUCUGCCUGCAAUGCAGGAGACCCAGGUUCAAUCUCUGAGUCAGGGAG
rfam:Ovis aries breed Texel chromosome 9, whole genome shotgun sequence.